AGUGGCGAACGGGUGAGUAAUGCAUCGGAACGUGCCCAGUCGUGGGGGAUAACGCAGCGAAAGCUGUGCUAAUACCGCAUACGAUCUAUGGAUGAAAGCGGGGGACCUUCGGGCCUCGCGCGAUUGGAGCGGCCGAUGUUAGAUUAGGUAGUUGGUGGGGUAAAGGCUCACCAAGCCGACGAUCUAUAGCUGGUCUGAGAGGACGACCAGCCACACUGGAACUGAGACACGGUCCAGACUCCUACGGGAGGCAGCAGUGGGGAAUUUUGGACAAUGGGCGAAAGCCUGAUCCAGCAAUACCGCGUGCAGGAAGAAGGCCUUCGGGUUGUAAACUGCUUUUGUACGGAACGAAACGGCGCGCUCUAAUAAAGUGCGCUAAUGACGGUACAGUAAGAAUAAGCACCGGCUAACUACGUGCCAGCAGCCGCGGUAAUACGUAGGGUGCAAGCGUUAAUCGGAAUUACUGGGCGUAAAGCGUGCGCAGGCGGUUUUGUAAGACAGGCGUGAAAUCCCCGGGCUUAACCUGGGAAUUGCGCUUGUGACUGCAAGGCUAGAGUACGGUAGAGGGGGGUAGAAUUCCGCGUGUAGCAGUGAAAUGCGUAGAUAUGCGGAGGAACACCGAUGGCGAAGGCAGCCCCCUGGACCUGUACUGACGCUCAUGCACGAAAGCGUGGGGAGCAAACAGGAUUAGAUACCCUGGUAG
rnacentral:rRNA from 1 species